UACAGGGGGGGCAAGCGUUGUUCGGAAUUACUGGGCGUAAAGGGCUUGUAGGUGGCCAACUAAGUCACACGUGAAAUCCCCAGGCUUAACCUGGGAACUGCGUGUGAUACUGGAUGGCUUGAAUCCGGGAGAGGGAUGCGGAAUUCCAGGUGUAGCGGUGAAAUGCGUAGAUAUCUGGAGGAACACCGGUGGCGAAGGCGGCAUCCUGGACCGGUACUGACGCUGAGGUGCGAAAGCGUGGGGAGCAAACAGG
rnacentral:rRNA from 1 species